UUCUACAGCUAAUACAUCAAAACCCCGACUUGCGUUUGUUACUUCAAAAGUGAGAUUGAACAAUUUAGCUGAUCGAACAUGUACCGGCGACAUAUCCUUCAAACGUCUGCCUUAUCAACUUUCGAUGGUAGUUUAUAUGACUACCAUGGUUGUUACGGGUAACGGAGAAUCAGGGUUUGAUUCCGGAGAGGGAGCCUGAGAAAUGGCUACCACAUCCAAGGA
rnacentral:rRNA from 1 species